CUCAUUUUCUCUUGCUGCUACCAUGGAAGAAGCGACUUUCGCCUCCCGCCGUGAUUCUGAGGCCUUUCCAGCCAUGUCAAACUCAAAAUGUGACUGAAAAACAGAAGCAUUUGGAAUACGUAACAGAAGUCAUUAAAAAGAGGUAUGAUGAAUAUGAUGAACUUAGAAUGAUACUGAUCUUCACAAUGAAGCAUAAAGUUAAAAGCAGAAAUGACAGGAUCUUAUUCCUUUUGAUGUGCUGCUGGAUUCAGUUUGAAGGUAUUCUACUGACAGAGACAUAGACGAAUGGGACAGGAUAGAGAAGCCAGAAAUAAUGUUGCAACCUUACAGCCAUCUGAUCUUCAACAAAGUCAACAAAAAGAGACGAUGAAGAAAGGGCUGCUCCCUAUUCAAUAAAUGACACUGGGAAAACUGGCUAGUCAUACUCAGAAGAAUAAAAUUGGACCCCUUCCUUUCAUCAUAGACCAAAAUUAACUCAAGAUGGAUUAAAUAUAUUUAAAUGUAAGAACUCAAAACUAUAAGAAUCCUUGAAGAAAACCUAGGAAACAAUAUUCUGGACACCAGCCUUGGGAAAUAAUUUAUGACUAAAUUCUCAAAAAUUAGUUGCAACAAAAAAAUUGACAAGUGGAAAUAACUAAACUAACAAAUCUUCUGCACAGCAAAAGUAACUAUCAACAGAUUAAACAGACAACCUGCAGAAUGGGAGAAAAUAUUCACAAACUAAGCGUUUGAAAAACGUCUGAUAUUCAGAAUCUAUAACAAACUUAAACAAAUCAGCAAGCAAAGAACAACCCCACUAAAAAAUGGGCAAAAGACAUGAAAAGACAAUUCUCAAAAGAAGAAAUAGAAGUGGCCAGUGGACAUUGAAAAAUGCUCAACAUUACUAAUCAUCAGAGAAAUGCAAAUCAAAACCACAAUGAGAUACCAUCUCAGACCAUCAGAAUGGCUAUUAUUAAAAAGUCAAAAUACAGCCGAUGCUGGGGAGGCUGUAGAGAUAAGGGAAUGCUUAUACAUUGUUGGUGAGAAUGUAAAUUAGUUCAGCCACUGUGGAAAGCAGUUUGGCAAUUUCUCAAAGAACUUAAAACAGAACUACCAUUUGGUCCAGCAAUCUAAUUACUGAAUAUACAUCCAAAAGAAAUUAAAUUAUUCAAUCAAAAAGAUACAUGAACAGGUAUGUUGAUAGGAUCACUGUUCACAAUAGCAAAUAUAUGGAAUCAACAACCUAGGUGCCCAUCAAUGCUAGAUUGGAAAAAGAAAAUGUAGUACAUAUACAUUAUGGAAUAUUAUGUAGCUACAAAAAGAACAACAUCAUGUCUUUUGCAGCAACAUGAAUGCACCUGGAUGUAAUUAUCCUAAGUGAACUAACACAGGAACAGAAAACCAAAUACCAUAAGUUUUCACUUUAAAGUGGGAGCACAACAUUGGGUACUCAUGGACAUAAAGAGGGCAACAAUAGACACUGUGGACUAAUAGCGAGGGAAGGAAUGGAGGGGGACAAAGAUUGUAAGACUCUUGAUUACUAUGCUCAGUAUCUGGGAGAUGGCAACAAUUGUACCCCAUACUUCAACAUCCUGCAAUAUACCCAGUUAACAAACCUACACUUGCAUUCCCUGAAUCUAAAGUAAAAGUUGAAAUUAUAAAAUACAAUAAAAAUGAAAGACAAAAAGAGUUAAAAGUGUCACAUGUGAUAGAAAUCCUUGUUCCCUAGAAAUAUUUAGGCCUUUAGGCCUAAAGGUAAAUAACCUUUAGGCCAUAACUCUGUAUACAACAGCUGCUUGAUAUAGUCAUUUUUAUCAUUAACUACACAAACGAUCUUGCCUCAAUAUCUAUAUGUACUUUAAUUCUUACUCAUUUUGUGUCACCAUUCCCAUGCAGUAGAAUACAGCAUGCAAUUUGAGAAACUGCCCGAAAAAUUGUACAGUAUAAGAAUUUUUUAUACAAAUGGUUAUAAUAAAAAGUUGGAAGUGCAUCAUAAGUGUAGUACAAAAUUAUAAAGUACUGGUUUUGAUAAAAGAACUUAAUGAGCUCUCCCUUUACUCAGGAGUAUGCUUUAUGCAACUUGAUUUUAUUUGAUUUCUGUCUGGUAAUAUGGAGAGAAUUUGAGUAUGAGUUGGAACAGGAGUGGGUAUAUUUGAGAAGCUGGAUGUAUAAAGUAGAAAAAAAUACAUGGACAAAUUCUCAAGGAAUAUGUUUUGUGUGUGCAAUAACUAGUUGAUAGUUAAUUUGGGAAGAUACAAAAAUAUGUCCAAAUUGUGAGAAGAUUUAAACGUAAGGUUUAGUAAAGGAAUUCUAAAUAAACAAUAUUAAAGUGGAGAUGAAUACAUUUUGUAAUCUAUGUAAUCUCAUGCAUCAUUUAAUUAAAAAAAGAUAGCAUUU
rnacentral:lncRNA from 1 species